AUUGAACGCUGGCGGCAUGGCUAAAACAUGCAAGUCGAGCGCGAAAGUGGAGCAAUCCAUGAGUAGAGCGGCGAAAGGGUGAGUAAUAGGUUUCUACGUGCCUUGAGGUCGAGGAUAGCCAGGGGAAACUCUGGGUAAUACUCGAUGUGAUCGAGAGAUCAAAGGCUUGCCGCCUCAAGAGCGGGGAACCUCCUAUCAGGUAGUUGGUGAGGUAACGGCUCACCAAGCCUUUGACGGGUAGCGGGUGUGAGAGCAUGGCCCGCCACAUCGAAACUGAGACACUGUUCGGACUCCUACGGGAGGCUGCAGUAACGAAUCUUCCGCAAUGCGCGAAAGCGUGACGGAGCAAUGCCGCGUGCAGGAUGAAGCCCCUCGGGGUGUAAACUGCUGUCAGGGAUUAGGAAGCAAGUGACCAAUCCCAAAGGAAGAGACGACUAACUCUGUGCCAG
rnacentral:rRNA from 1 species